rnacentral:rRNA from 1 species
AAUUUUUAAUCAUUUUAUUAAAAUUAAUAAAAUUACAUUUAAAUCCUUUUUCAAUUAAAUAAUUUCAAUUUAAUAUUCAUUUAAAUAAAUUUAUUGUAAUUCAUUUAUUCUAAAUUAUUAAUUACAUCUUGAUUUGAUUUAAUUUUUUAUUUAAAAUUUUAAAUAUUAUAAAUUUAUAAAAAAUAUUUUUUUAACAAUGAUAUAUAAAUUUAUAAAUUAAGUAAAUUAAUUCGUGGAUUAUCAAUUAUUAAACAAAUUCCUCUAAAUAAAAUAAAAUACUGCCAAAUUAUUUAAGUUUCAUAUAAUAAUAUUAAUUACUAUUUUAAUAUUAAACUAUUUAAUUUAUAUAAUAGG